UGAGAUGUAGCUCAGAGGUAGAGCUCUUGCCUAGUAUGUAUGAGUCCCUUGGUUUGAUCCCCAGCACCACAA
rnacentral:tRNA from 1 species